GAAUGAGUUCCAGAGCCUAUGCCUCCUCUAGAUCCAAUGCCUCCUCCAGAUCCAAUGUCGCCUCCAGAUCCAACGUUGCUUCCAGAUCCAACGUUGCCUCCAGAUCCAACGUCGCCUCCAGAUCCCAUCCGGGCUCCAGAUCAACAUUCGCAGCCAGAAGGGAAACGAGCAGACAGCAGAGAACAUUUUGGUAUCAUUUACAAGAGUUGAUUUCGCCGGACAUUUAUAUAUAUCUUGCAUUAAUGAUGUCCCUGGCACUAUUUUUUGCUGCAGCUGGGAUGACUGCUUUGUAUCAUCACGAAGCAAACAAAACAGCCAUCCUAAAUAGUGCAGCUGAACGUAUUAAGACAUUUACAAUCGCAAAGGAGCCAUCAGUGAAAGGCAAAAACGACUCCUGAGAAAUCAGCUAGUAAUUCUGCAAAUCCCCAAAGGAAAGAAAUACUAUACAUCAAAAAUGUAAAUGAAGAAUAUUGUAUGGGCAAUUCCAGAAUAAAACAAGCACCUGCUUGUGAGGCA
rnacentral:lncRNA from 1 species